rnacentral:rRNA from 1 species
UCCGUAGGGUGCGAGCGUUAAUCGGAAUUACUGGGCGUAAAGCGUGCGCAGGCGGUUAUUUAAGUCAGGUGUGAAAGCCCUGGGCUUAACCUAGGAAUUGCGCUUGAGACUGGAUAGCUUGGAGUGCGGCAGAGGGAGGUGGAAUUCCACGUGUAGCAGUGAAAUGCGUAGAGAUGUGGAGGAACACCGAUGGCGAAGGCAGCCUCCUGGGCCAGCACUGACGCUCAUGCACGAAAGCGUGGGGAGCAAACAGG